rnacentral:misc_RNA from 1 species
UUCAAUGGCUCUAGAAAAUCUCUUGCAGACGUAGUAUUACCUACUCCAUGCUUGAAUGAGGAAUGCUGGGUAUCCAGAACCGGAAGAUCAAAUAAGUUAUCAGACGGAGAAUCCUCCAGAGAGGAUUCUGCAAAAGGAAUAUGGUUUCUACUGCAGGUGUGCAAAUCCUGAUGAGUUGUUCGGCCAUUCUCGAAAGAUGUUGAAGUUGACUCAGUUAAUGAUAUUCUAUGCAAAGCAUUGUAUACUUCUUGGUCCUUUAAAUUAGGGAAAUUACCAGAUUCCCACUGUUCAGAGUUUGACUCAGACUGAUGGCUAAGAUAAUCAUCUGAUAGAUCGGGAGAUGAUCCGGAAAAUGUGUCAUCAUCGGAGUCUGAACCAACUUCUUGCAGAGGAAUAGAAGGCUCUGGUACUAGCUGAAAUGAAG